ACGCGGUUACCCCGCAAGGGGUAACUGAGUGGCGAACGGGUGAGUAACACGUGGGUGACCUACCUUCGAGUGGGGGAUAACGUCCCGAAAGGGACGCUAAUACCGCAUAACAUCCUGCCUUUGAACAGGUGGAGAUCAAAGCUGGGGAUCGCAAGACCUGGCGCUUGAUGAGGGGCCCGCGUCCGAUUAGCUAGUUGGUGAGGUAACGGCUCACCAAGGCGACGAUCGGUAACCGGCCUGAGAGGGCGGACGGUCACACUGGGACUGGGACACGGCCCAGACUCCUACGGGAGGCAGCAGUGGGGAAUUGUUCGCAAUGGGCGAAAGCCUGACGACGCAACGCCGCGUGGAGGAUGAAGGUCUUCGGAUUGUAAACUCCUGUUGCCCGGGACGAAAUACUUCAACCUAAUACGUUGAAGUUUGACGGUACCGGGUGAGGAAGCCCCGGCUAACUCUGUGCCAGCAGCCGCGGUAAUACAGAGGGGGCAAGCGUUGUUCGGAAUUACUGGGCGUAAAGGGCGCGUAGGCGGCCUGCUAAGUCGAACGUGAAAUCCCUGGGCUCAACCCAGGAACUGCGUCCGAUACUGGUUGGCUUGAAUCCGGGAGAGGGAUGCGGAAUUCCAGGUGUAGCGGUGAAAUGCGUAGAUAUCUGGAGGAACACCGGUGGCGAAGGCGGCAUCCUGGACCGGCAUUGACGCUGAGGCGCGAAAGCCAGGGGAGCAAA
rnacentral:rRNA from 1 species